UACAGAGGGGGCAAGCGUUAUUCGGAAUUAUUGGGCGUAAAGGGCGCGUAGGCGGCCUGGCAAGUGGAAGGUGAAAUCCCUCGGCUUAACCGAGGAACUGCCCUCCAAACUGCUUGGCUUGAGUCCGGGAGAGGUGAGUGGAAUUCCCAGUGUAGCGGUGAAAUGCGUAGAGAUGUGGAGGAACACCGAUGGCGAAGGCAGCCUUCUGGGCCAACACUGACGCUCAUGCACGAAAGCGUGGGGAGCAAACAGG
rnacentral:rRNA from 1 species